GAUGAACGCUAGCGGCAUGCCUAACACAUGCAAGUCGAACGCCCUCUUCGGAGGGAGUGGCGCACGGGUGCGUAACGCGUGGGAACCUGCCCUUAGGUUCGGAAUAACUCAGAGAAAUUUGAGCUAAUACCGGAUAAUGUCUUCGGACCAAAGAUUUAUCGCCUUUGGAUGGGCCCGCGUUGGAUUAGCUAGUUGGUGGGGUAAAGGCCUACCAAGGCGACGAUCCUUAGCUGGUCUGAGAGGAUGAUCAGCCACACUGGGACUGAGACACGGCCCAGACUCCUACAGGAGGCAGCAGUGGGGGAAUAUUGGACAAUGGGCGAAAGCCUGAUCCAGCAAUGCCGCGUGAGUGAUGAAGGCCUUAGGGUUGUAAAGCUCUUUUACCCGGGAUGAUAAUGACAGUACCGGGAGAAUAAGCCCCGGCUAACUCCGUGCCAGCAGCCGCGGUAAU
rnacentral:rRNA from 1 species